rnacentral:rRNA from 1 species
GACGUAGGGCGCGAGCGUUGUCCGGAAUUAUUGGGCGUAAAGGGCUCGUAGGCGGUUCGUCACGUCGGGAGUGAAAACUCGGAGCUUAACUCCGAGCCUGCUUCCGAUACGGGCAGACUAGAGGUAGGCAGGGGAGAGCGGAACUCCUGGUGUAGCGGUGGAAUGCGCAGAUAUCAGGAAGAACACCGGUGGCGAAGGCGGCUCUCUGGGCCUUACCUGACGCUGAGGAGCGAAAGCGUGGGGAGCGAACAGG